rnacentral:rRNA from 1 species
UAGGGAAUAUUGGGCAAUGGAGGGAACUCUGGCCCAGCCAUGCCGCGUGUGUGAAGAAGGUCUUCGGAUUGUAAAGCACUUUAAGUUGGGAGGAAGGGCCAUUACCUAAUACGUGAUGGUUUUGACGUUACCGACAGAAUAAGCACCGGCUAACUCUGUGCCAGCAGCCGCGGUAAUACAGAGGGUGCAAGCGUUAAUCGGAAUUACUGGGCGUAAAGCGCGCGUAGGUGGUUUGUUAAGUUGGAUGUGAAAUCCCCGGGCUCAACCUGGGAACUGCAUUCAAAACUGACUGACUAGAGUAUGGUAGAGGGUGGUGGAAUUUCCUGUGUAGCGGUGAAAUGCGUAGAUAUAGGAAGGAACACCAGUGGCGAAGGCGACCACCUGGACUGAUACUGACACUGAGGUGCGAAAGCGUGGGGAGCAAACAGGAUUAGAUACCCACGUAGUCCCUGAGCGGGCUGGCAAGGCGCAU